GGCUGUACCAAUGAGUGUAUACUGUAGGUGAAUGGGCUGUAUCAAUGAGUGUAUACUGUAGGUGAAUGGGCUGUACCAAUGAGUGUAUACUGUAGGUGAAUGGGCUGUACCAGUGAGUGUAUACUGUAGGUGAAUGGGCUGUACCAAUGAGUGUAUACUGUAGGUGAAUGGGCUGUACCAGUGAGUGUAUACUGGAGGUGAAUGGGCUGUACCAAUGAGUGUAUACUGGAGGUGAAUGGGCUGUACCAAUGAGUGUAUACUGGAGGUGAAUGGGCUGUACCAAUGAGUGUAUACUAUAGGUGAAUGGGCUGUACCAGUGAGUAUACUUUAGGUGAAUGGGCUGUACCAGUGAGUAUACUGUAGGUAAAUGGGCUGAACCAGUGAGUAUAUUGUAGGUAAAUGGGCUGUACCAGUGAAUAUCCUGUAGGUGAAUGGGCUGUACAAAUGAGUGUAUACUGUAGGUGAAUGGGCUGUACCAGUGAGUAUACUGUAGGUAAAUGGGCUGUACCAGUGAGUAUACUGUAGGUAAAUGGGCUUGUACCAGUGAGUAUACUUUAGGUGAAUGGACUGUACCAGUGAGUAUACUGUAGGUAAAUGGGCUGUACCAGUGAGUAUACUGUAGGUAAAUGGGCUGUACCAGUGAGUAUACUGUAGGUAAGUGGGCUGUACCAGUGAGUGUAUACCGUAGGUGAAUGGGCUGUACCAGUGAGUAUACUGUAGGUGAAUGGGCUGUACCAGUGAGUAUACUGUAGGUAAAUGGGCUGUACCAGUGAGUAUACUGUAGGUGAAUGGGCUGUACCAAUGAGUGUAUACUGUAGGUGAAUGGGCUGUACCAAUGAGUGUAUACUGGAGGUGAAUGGGCUGUACCAAUGAGUGUAUACUAUAGGUGAAUGGGCUGUUACCAGUGAGUAUACUGUAGGUGAAUGGGCUGUACCAGUGAGUAUACUUUAGGUAAAUGGGCUGUACCAGUGAGUAUACUGUAGGUAAAUGGGCUUGUACCAGUG